GAUGAACGCUGGCGGCGUGCCUAAUACAUGCAAGUCGAGCGAAUGGAUUAAGAGCUUGCUCUUAUGAAGUUAGCGGCGGACGGGUGAGUAACACGUGGGUAACCUGCCCAUAAGACUGGGAUAACUCCGGGAAACCGGGGCUAAUACCGGAUAACAUUUUGAACCGCAUGGUUCGAAAUUGAAAGGCGGCUUCGGCUGUCACUUAUGGAUGGACCCGCGUCGCAUUAGCUAGUUGGUGAGGUAACGGCUCACCAAGGCAACGAUGCGUAGCCGGGCUGGAUGGGGGAUCCGACACACUGGGACUGGGACACGGCCCAGACUCCAACGGGAGGCAGCAGUAGGGAAUCUUCCGCAAUGGACGAAAGUCUGACGGAGCAACGCCGCGUGAGUGAUGAAGGCUUUCGGGUCGUAAAACUCUGUUGUUAGGGAAGAACAAGUGCUGGUUGAAUAAGCUGGCACCUUGACGGUACCUAACCAGAAAGCCACGGCUAACUACGUGCCAGCCGCCGCCGUAA
rnacentral:rRNA from 1 species